UACGUAGGGUGCAAGCGUUGUCCGGAAUUAUUGGGCGUAAAGAGCUCGUAGGCGGUCUGUCGCGUCGGAUGUGAAAACCCAGGGCUCAACCCUGGGCCUGCAUUCGAUACGGGCAGACUAGAGUUCGGUAGGGGAGACUGGAAUUCCUGGUGUAGCGGUGGAAUGCGCAGAUAUCAGGAGGAACACCGAUGGCGAAGGCAGAUCUCUGGGCCGUAACUGACGCUGAGGAGCGAAAGCAUGGGGAGCGAACAGG
rnacentral:rRNA from 1 species